GAUGAACGCUAGCUACAGGCCUAACACAUGCAAGUCGAGGGACCGGCGCACGGGUGAGUAACGCGUAUCCAACCUGCCCCACGGUGAGGGAUAACCCGCGGAAACGCGGCCUAAUACCUCGUGCCGUGGGAUGGGGAUGCGUCUGAUUAGCUUGUUGGCGGGGCAACGGCCCACCAAGGCAACGAUCAGUAGGGGUUCUGAGAGGAAAGCCCCCCACAUUGGAACUGAGACACGGUCCAAACUCCUACGGGAGGCAGCAGUGAGGAAUAUUGGUCAAUGGGCGAGAGCCUGAACCAGCCAAGUAGCGUGCAGGAAGACGGCCUAUGGGUUGUAAACUGCUUUUAUGCGGGGAUAGGUACCGCAUGAAUAAGGACCGGCUAAUUCCGUGCCAGCAGCCGCGGUAAUACGGAAGGUCCGGGCGUUAUCCGGAUUUAUUGGGUUUAAAGGGAGCGCAGGCCGGGUAUUAAGCGUGUUGUGAAAUGUAGGCGCCCAACGUCUGCACCGCAGCGCGAACUGGUGCCCUUGAGUACGCACGACGUUGGCGGAAUUCGCCGUGUAGCGGUGAAAUGCUUAGAUAUGGCGAAGAACUCCGAUUGCGAAGGCAGCUGACGGGAGCGCUGCUGACGCUCAUGCUCGAAAGCGCGGGUAUCGAACAGGAUUAGAUACCCUGGUAGUCCGCGCGGUAAACGAUGGAUGCCCGCUAUUUGCAAGUGGCCAAGUGAAAACGUUAAGCAUCCCACCUGGGGAGUACGCCGGCAACGGUGCAACUCAAAUGAAUUGACGGA
rnacentral:rRNA from 1 species